UUGAUCCCCCUAUUUUAGUUUUUUGUUAGUUUUAGUCCCCCACCUCAAUUUGGUCAAACUUUUGCUAAUGUGUCAUGCUCACUGAUGACGUGGCAUUGUACAUGUGGACAACUUCCUAUGAUGAUGUCAGAAAAAUUGGUGAAACACAAUAUUUGACCUAUAGAGAUGCAUGUUUUGCAAUGGGAUUCCUUAAAGAUGAUCGUGUUU
rnacentral:lncRNA from 1 species